rnacentral:rRNA from 2 species
UGGGGGAUAACGUUCGGAAACGGACGCUAAUACCGCAUACGUCCUACGGGAGAAAGCAGGGGACCUUCGGGCCUUGCGCUAUCAGAUGAGCCUAGGUCGGAUUAGCUAGUUGGUGGGGUAAUGGCUCACCAAGGCGACGAUCCGUAACUGGUCUGAGAGGAUGAUCAGUCACACUGGAACUGAGACACGGUCCAGACUCCUACGGGAGGCAGCAGUGGGGAAUAUUGGACAAUGGGCGAAAGCCUGAUCCAGCCAUGCCGCGUGUGUGAAGAAGGUCUUCGGAUUGUAAAGCACUUUAAGUUGGGAGGAAGGGCAGUAAAUUAAUACUUUGCUGUUUUGACGUUACCGACAGAAUAAGCACCGGCUAACUCUGUGCCAGCAGCCGCGGUAAUACAGAGGGUGCAAGCGUUAAUCGGAAUUACUGGGCGUAAAGCGCGCGUAGGUGGUUAGUUAAGUUGGAUGUGAAAUCCCCGGGCUCAACCUGGGAACUGCAUUCAAAACUGACUGACUAGAGUAUGGUAGAGGGUGGUGGAAUUUCCUGUGUAGCGGUGAAAUGCGUA